GAAACAUCCUGGCGGGAUGAUGGCAUUCCUGCCACUGCCCUGCCAUUCGUCAGGAGGUUUUCAGUCAGUCGCAGAGUUUUUCUUCUACAGCUGAAGGUGACGCAUCUCCAAACCUAUUUGUAAAUCUUCCCUCCAUUUUUCUUCGCAUCCCGAGCUUCUUGGGCACAACUCUUGUUGAAGCACAAAAUGAAGACUGGAAGUGCCAGAACCUUUUUGUCAAUGGUUUCCAAAAACUAUGGAAUUUCCUGCCCAGCUACAUCAGAUCAGCCAACAACUUUGUAAUUGCUAAAAACAGCCUGUUGAUUUUCCUCCUAAGUGCUUCAGCUGGCCUGGCUGAGCUUUCUCUUUUCCACUGUCUUGAGAUGUUUCUCUCAUUGUGCACUACGCCGUAUUUUUAUGGUCAACAUAUCCUAUAGCAAACAAUUUCAGGCUGAUGGCGGAAGGGAGAUUGGAUUCAGAUCGGAGAUUUGAGCCCCGGAUGGGGAGCCAGGAACGCCUCAGUUCCUGGACCAGAUCUGCCACUAAAUCAGGAAUCCACAUAAAGCAAAGCCACAUGACGAGCAACUGCAGGAUGAUUUGAUUUUGUGUGCAGAGGAGGAAGCGAGUGUUUGAACACGGCUCUCGCCUUGGUGCGCCCGCUGCAACUGGAGCCGCCAUUACAGGGACUGAUCGAGGUGGAUGCAGUGGUCCCCGUCAGAUGUGUGCCAAAUUGAAAUGCCAGCAGCUGUGUGAGCAGCGGGAUAAUCAUAUCUGCUGCUUCUCUCUUCCAAGUCCUGGCAUUCCCAUUUCAGCAAUGGUGUGUCCGUGCUCAGCUCCGCGGGAGGAAAUCCAUUGACCGAAGCCAUGCUGACGCCUGGGGGAUGCGGUUACAUGUUCAUCAGUCACCUGUCUGACUGUGGACCCACUGGGUAGGGCGCUGGUGACUUAAUGCGUUGUUUUGCUUAUGGGGAUGUGAAAAAACAUAAGAGAACUCUGAUGGUUGAUCAUUUUUGUUGUUUCUUAUUUUUUUUCUUAUUUUUUUUUUCUUUUUUCUGUCUGAAUGGAGAAACAGCCAAAACUGUGCAGUGGUGUUCACCUUUAGCUUUCAAAAUAUUUAGAAGAUUCACUUAAUGUCAAAAUAAUCAUUUAAAAAGAGAGCUGGGGGGGAAAAAAAAAAAAGAAAUCCAAGAAAGAAAUGACGAAAAGAGGCUUACCCAGAAGCUUGCAAAUCGUCAGCUGGCUGAAUUUAUAUAAACUUUUGGGAAAUAUAGGAAAAUGGGACAAGGCGUCAGAUGGUUGGGUAAGAUUGAUGUAUUUAAUAGUUCAGUUAAUAUGGAUCAACAUCUGCAUUCUGUUACAUCUGCAUAAGCGCCUAACUUCAGUAGAGUUGUGCUGUUGGAACUGAAUUUGGACCAGUGUUUUUAAAUAGGCCCUGGUGCAGAAUCUCUGCCGAGAGCUCAGUGCUGCUGUGCCCGGUGGCGCUGCAGAGAGGGGGUAAUGCAAUCUGUUAGUGUUUCUCCUGUAAUUUUUAAAACAACGUUGAGAAGUAAUAUAUUUUUUUAUAAUAGGGUGCUCCCUGUCUCUUUAAGUAACUGUCAGAUGUAUGAUGUCCUCGUGCCAAAAUGCUACGGUCUGCUCCCUCUGAGCAAUUGUUAAUUAAAUCCAUCCCUUAUUGUAGAGCCUGCCUAGUCUCUUACCCGUUCUGCUUAUCUGUGACACCAGAUGAUGCUCGGUAAUUCAUGGCCAACGUGCUCCCACCUUCAGCAGGGCCUCCUGUGCACUGACCUUAGCCAGCUUCACCUUUUCCUUAUUCCCAAAGAGAAUGCAACCCUGGAGGCAGCAGUUUUUAUCAACUUCUCCUCCUGACCAGAUGAAGGCUCAGUGAUAAAUAAACAUCCUCCCACCCACCACAGCUCCCCAGCCCUCACUGUCUCCCACUGCCUGCAGGAUGCAGAGCAAUAGGAGAGCAAUGGACUGUCCUCAAAGAGGGCCAUGAGCUGCACUGCCAGUGGGGAAGAACUGCUUCUGCUCAUCCGGGUAAUGUCGCUGUGUUGGCUGAAAAGUCUCCACUUGGUCCUGAGCGGUGCCACCUGCAGAUCCCUGCACCCACUGGAACAAAAUAAAAAGGUGUCGUAUGUGGUUUCAUGGCAGCAGGGAGGUGACAGCACACAUGGGCUGAGAAGCAGAAAUCCCCUUCAACAGCAGAGACUAUCUCUGCCAGCAGGUAGAGAAGAGGUUGUUUGUCUGAAGAAAGAAGGGUGUGGUGGAAAUACUUCAUGCCAGUCAAGUCAACCAAAAUACUACCUGAGUUACAAAGCAUGCUGGAAAACAAAAUUAAACAGAAGAUCUGGGCCCCACCUGUGCUCUCCCAGGAGCGACUGAGAGAAAAGGAGUUCUGGGAGCUGGGAACACACAGCUCCCUGCAGCUGCACUAUGGAAUUCACCCUGGAUGAAUGGGAAUGCCAAUGUCUUCACCUCCUGAAGAGAGGACAGAGCUCUCAGACUGAAUUAGCCACAGCUGGAUAGGUUGUUUUGAAAUCUCCACAAUUUUCAGACCUGGAAGAUUUUUCCAUCAUGCUGGUCUGGGGUAGGCAUUUGGUGGGUGAGUAAACUAUAAUUUGGUUUGUUUUGCCUUAUGAAGUAAGUGUAGAAAAUACACCAAAGUAGCUGGUCACAUAUUUGGACCUGGGCUUCUCACGAAAGUUCUGCAAAACCCUCUCAAAUGUCUGAAUAUUUACUAAGUAGGUCACGAAAUAUUUUCCAACAACAAAAAUACAAAUACAAAAAUACAAUAGAGUAAUCCUAUUGGGAUGUAGUUAUGUGCUAAUGACUUUAUUUUCUUCUUCCUCCUGUUCAGGCAGUAACAUGCAAAGUGACCACAGCACUGUUGUGAAAUUGCUGAUUAACCUUUUGACUCUGACAAUUGGGACUUCUCUUAACACCAAUUGGUAAUGCAAAAGACCAUUAGUAGUUAAUAUUGGGACACCCCACCUCCAGAUGCCAAAAGGUUAAUGAAAAAGCAAGUAUCUUGCUUUUACUGGGAAACUUGGAAACCUUCCCACCAAACAUUUCAUUUUUUGUGAUAAACAAGCCAGACCGCUUCAGCUGAGAAAGACGGGUGUUUUGCUAAUGUGUACAGCUGUUAAUUGAAAAAGAUUCUGUUAUGCCUGUUCUUCUGGACAUAGAUAAAAGAGAGAUUUGUUGGUGAACUUUAGUUGGUCCUGAACACCCCUUUGUCAAAAUACACUGCUCAAUAAUAACGCUUUGUUCUGUCUGUAACAGCCACGGAAGGAUUUUGAGUGGAAUACUCAUUUUCUUUAAGUCAUAUCUGCCAGUGAUCAUUCUUGGCUUAAGAUCAGCUGCCAUUUAUGUGUUUUAUGAAAAUAUAACACCAGUUUUAUGCUCAAAACUAUUCUUUUUUAGGUAAAAGCUUCAGCACAAACUGGUUCCCCAUAUGUACCAUAAAUGCUAUUUAUCACAGGUUUUGGUCUUUAAAACAGAAUGAUAAUGUUAAAACAUUUUCAUUACCCUUUCCUUACAGCUAUCAUUCACAAACCAUCUUUUAUAAUUAUGGUACUAGGACAUUUACAUAACUGGGAAAAAGGUCCUUAAACUACAUUUCUAUUAUGUUUGGCACUUGUGUGAAAGGAUAUUAUAUUCAUGUGCAUUAGAGAUUGCUUAUAAAAGAUCAAGACAAUAAUAGCAGAUCAGACGAUAAAGGUUCCCUUUUCUCCUCCCAGACAGGCUGUCUCUGACAGAAGAAUACAGUUCAUCAAAAGUGUCUGCAGGUUGUCAAACUCAGUGAGAUUUGGGGACACUCGGAGGCUGUCAUGGCCAACAAGAAGAUUUUCUGUAGGGUUCUGCCAUCAUUCACCCUCAGGAAAUAAUCACUCACUACAUCCUGCAUGCUCUCAUGAUAGAGCUCUAUUUGAGAGAAAAGAGCCAUUUUAUCAAAGGACAAUAUAUCCCUUCUCUUGGUCCAUGCAGCUUCCAUUAUCAGACCAUAAUAAAUCAUAUUUAUGUUCUCAGUUAAUAAGACUGAUUACAAUGCAGGUUACAGGCAUGGGAAAAGCAAAGCAGGUGAAAAGAUGUUUUAAUGAAAAUAUGAUAAGCAAACAGCUUCUUGUGAACAUUUCAGGCUGUUAUUUGUAAUGAUCACAGGCAAUUUUUGAUACAUCUUCUUUAGCAAUGGUUUAAGCUGCAUAAAUUGGCUUGCCACUUUAUACGUCGAAAUAGGAAGAAUCCCAGUGUCCUUCUUAUGUUGUCUAGAAUCAUUAUAUACAUUAUAAGCAUAAAAUGAGUUUAAUGUAUGUGCUUUGAAAAGAUGGGGAAAACAGAAAAUCAGGGAGGACUGAUUUUAAUGCUGCUCAAAAUGAUUUUGAAAUUUUCUGCACAUCUUUGUUACUAACGGUGCAUUUUCCAUGAAAUUUAGGGAUGACAUGUGGUGCUUUCAUCUCCUUAAAAUUAAUAUACUUCUCUUUCUGUUUUUCUCAGUUUCUUCAAAGUUCUUUUUAGAACACUGUGCAAAGAGACAGAGAGAAAAUUCUCCACUCGAUGUGUGAACAUAUCUGUUAUUAAUGCUGGGGGGGAGUUAAGUGUGUGCUUCUAGAGGAGAAUAUACCCCUGCGUUAAACACUGAAAUCAACCCUAUCAAAAAGGUGCAAGGAUAUUUAGCUGCAGCACACCUGAUGCAUUCAAGGGCCAAAUUCCUUAGAAUCUUUUAAAGUGAUCAAGAUCUCUUUUGUUAAGAGCGCUCCAAUGAUUUCAGAAUAUAACUGUACUUAAGUAGCCGAGGAAGUGUCUUGCUCUUGUCUCGUGAAAAGCUUUCUUUUAUGUUUUAUUGUUGUUUUCUUUUUUUGCUGUAGUCAUUUGGUUUAUGUUUAGCAUCAUACUUUCAAGACAAAGUUAAAAAUUUAAAGAAUAAUUUCUUCCUGCUAGCACAUAAUGCUGACUAAGUAUUUCAAAAUCUACAGCACUUGCAGAAUGCAAGCAUUAUGCUUAUAAUGUAUAUAAUGAUUCCAGACAAUAUGAGAAGGACACUGGGAUUCUUCCUACUUUGAUAUAUAAAGUGGUGAGCAAACGCAGAAGUCUCCAUGGUGUUGUGUGUCUGCGGGAGCUGUUCUGGUCACUGAUACUUCUAAAGCUCCCUUAAACAAAUGUUAAAGCUUUGUAAUGGGCCUGGCAAUGGAGAAUGGCCAUGAAAUUCCCUUAACCCUUUUAGGGCACUUCAGCAGGAGAAGUGAUCACACAAGAAACAGUAAACUGCGCUUCAAAGGCAGCAUCCUGAUAUGACAACAGAUGUAGAUAAUGCACUUCAUGAUGAAACUGCUUGAUACAGAGAAAAACACGUUGUAACUGCCUUCACCCUGAAAGGGGUUUAAAAAUGCUGCCUGCCAACUCCACAAAAAACAGAGCUGCUAUUUCAGUUAAAGGCCGGUGGAUUGUAUUUUUCGUGUCAGUUUUCACUAACCUCAAACAUCACUGUUAUGACAGACUGUCAUCCAACCAAACCAGCACUGUGGUGCCAUUCAGGCAAGAAAGAAGAAAGCAAACACAAAGGAAACUUAGAAGUCCGAGCAGUAAGAGCGGGUGUCUGUGAGUGCACUUUUGUGCAGCGAUACUGAUUACUGAAAAUGAAACACUUAAAAGAAAACAAACCCAAAAAAGUGAUUUCUGAGCCAUUGGUGUUUUCUUGCCUGGCAAUUUCUCUUUGUUCUGUUUCAUGACAUCAGCCUCAGUGGUUGAAAGGGUGUUCUGGGCCAGAUGUCAAUCACUAUGUCUGACAUAAACAAAAAUAGCUAAAAAGACAUGCCAGCAUCUUCCUUUUGUUUUCCCAUUAGCUCCAUUUUUCUUUUCAGAGGCUGACAAAAAAUUACUGCCUCCGAGUGAAUUCAGUAAUGUCACUAUAUAUCUAAUAUCUAGGAGACCUUUUGUUUUAGCUUUACUGGGCUUAACCACAAAAGACACUUGACAUUGACAAAGAGUCUGUCAAAUACACAAUGAUCAGUGCAGUGAAAUCUCUCAUGACAGAAGGGCACUAUUCUGCACCCCCAGCCUGCAGCAGCCUAUCUGAGUAAAAUGUGCUGGAGCACACGCAGCAGCUGAACCAUUGCAGAGCAGGCCAUAAGCUGAGAUGUGUCUUGUUUAAAGUGUCAUAGUAUAUUAGUGUAAUUAAAACCGCCAAAAGAAUAGAAAAGAUAGAUGGAAAUGUUACAUUACUUGUUUCUAGAGAUUAACCUCCAGCCAGAACUGAAAUACAGAGACACAUUUUGCAUGUCUUAGAGCUCUGAUAUGGAAGAAAACAAGCCUGAGUGUAUGUCUCUUGAAGUGUGAGACAUGAAGUCAUAGUUCCUGUAUUUACACAAUAAAGCAGAAACAGCGCUUCAGACAGGCACGCUGUUUUCUCUCUGAUUACAGCUCCCGUUGUGGCUGUACUCUGCAAAGCAGCUGUAUCAUCUCUCAGCUACUUCCCUUUUACUCUCACUGCCUUCGUGCUUGGAAGGUCUUGAGACCCUUGGGCCCACAGAUGUGCUGGUGUCAAUGCCUUCUGCUCCCUCGGCAUCUGCCAGCGUUGCGUGGGCCCAGCCUAGAGGCAGAGCACCCUGUCCCUAUGGUGUCUGCAGAAGACACAGCUCAGCUCCAGACUCAGCAACACCCAGCUAGGAAGAUGUUUGAAGAAUGGCUUCAGUCUGACCUUUAUAUACCAGGCUGCAUGCUUGCUUCUCUGUUGAGUCUAUAGAUAAAACUGCAUGGCUUUCUGAAAUUGACUCUGAAAAUUAUGUUCCCAGAACUGCAUGUUUUCCUUCCCAUGCUUCAUUACCUCUGAUAACUAUUCAAGCCUAACUAGUUACGAUCUCUGUUCUAACCAUGAGGCAAGUUAUAUCUGGUGGUGAAAAACCCUUGGAGUUUUUAUGGACCUGUUCAGCUGUGUUGGCUGAACGUUGGUUUAUCCAGUAUCUGGAGAGGACCUCAUCUGGCUUCAGCAGUUCUGAAGCAUACAAAAGCAGCGUGGUUUUCUUCUAAUGUAAGCCUUACAUUCAAGGAGAAGAUGCAUUAAUCAGGUAGGUCUCAUGUUCAUUUCUUCCACUAGAAAUGAACUUCAAGGCCUUGCCCCAUUAGUUGAUCACUUUGACGUCAAGAGAUGUUAAAUAUAGGCCUUACAUUUUAGGUUUCCUCAUACUUCCUCUAUUUCCCAUCUUUAAAUAUCAGUUAAUGACUUCUCCAUAUAGCACUUCUCUUUAAUUUCUGGUCAGAGGCUGUAAAUGUGCACCGUUAGUCAAAAAUAUGUUAUCUGCUGUUAGUGUUGGCUUCUGGAGCCCUCACCACCAAGUUACCUCGCAGUCGCAUCUCUCCUCACAUGAUUUUCUGAGUACUGCCAGGAGAAGAAUGGAAAAUAACUAUGAAAUAAAAGCAGAUUCUGCUCCCAUUACAGGCAAUGAAAACUGUGCUUUUACUUCUACUUACUCAUAAUAGUGGGGGGAAAAAAUGAAGUGGAAACAAGCACAACAAAACACCUCUGCCAGCUAUCUAUAAGCUAACCAAGGCUUCCACUAAUGAGGUGGUCUGGCAUUUUGAGAAAGACAGGUUUUUCCAGAAAUGGAAAAAAUAUGCUGUUUUUUUUUUCCUUCAACUCUGAGAGCAUAGCAAGAGAGUAAGAAAUUGUAUUUCAAAAAGGGAUAGCAAACUUUUAAUGCUGUCUGUAUUAGUUAAUACUUACAGACACCGGUACAGUUUCUUGUCAGCUAGAUGUUUUUGCAUAUUUGUUUGUUAGAUUACUAAAUACUUUCCUAAAAAGUGGUUAUUUGCUGUAUUUACAGAUUCAUCUCAGUGACUGUGAAAUUCCUGAGGAUGUUAUUACUUUCAAGUCAGAUUAACGGAGUAAUUUCCAGUUGCCACCUGUGAAGAGAUUCCUACCUAUCCUGGCAGGCAAUUGUUCAGUCUUAUUGAGCUUCAAAUAACUUUACAGCUUGAAAUUCUGAACAACCAUGCUACCAGAAUACAUGAUACUACUCCUAAAGUGGACCUCAAAAACUUUGAGAAAGAAAAUGAUUCCAUCUUUUUUGAUCAGGUUCUUCCUCUACAGGAGUUCCUGCAGCUACAGGACCAGGAGAUGUCCGAGGUCAAGAAAAGGUUAAAGUUGUUCACUGCUUUCAAGCUCUGGCCUUAGAAGUUAAUUCAGUGCUGUGCUGCGAGAGCUACAGAGUAAAUCCUUGGAACAGUGAAUUGCUGGUUUGAUAUCAAGCUCACGUCAACAUUUCUAUCAGAAAGAAUCACCAUAAUCACCAGAUAUAUUAGCAGAAACUGCUCCUUCCCAUUGACCACAUACGCCAAAAUCCUUGGAAACUCUUAAGCCGUGGACUUCCCCUGAAGACAUACAGAGAAAAUGGCUCAAGCGAACACUCCUCCAUUCCUUCAGUGGAGCCCAGGUCAGCUGUGACAAGCAUCUGCUCUGUGGGUAGGUGCAAAAUACACGACAAAGAUAUCGGCCGUGGAUCCCUUCUGUAAACGAUGACCUCAUCCGGAGGUUAUGGGACCUUCACGAGGAUACCAGUCGUACUCCUCCAUGGCGAUGUGUUACAGUGAGUAACUCGCUUCCUGGAUGCACUUGUAACAGGCAGAUAUCCUAACAACACAGGAUACGCAGACAUGUCCAGGUCUUUAAAAAGUCUUCCAAUGCAAUUAUUAAGGUAUUACGUGCUGAUAAUGCCACCAAAAACAUUGAGCAUGCUGUUCAUUCAGUUGGGCAUGAAACUACUUCCUUCUGAAUAUUUUAAAUGUACUUGGCUAAUUAAUUAAACAAUUAAUAAGGGCUACAGUUAAGUUUCUGUUUUUCAUUGUAACAAAUUAUUCCAGAGCAUUGUUUUUACUGAAUUCUGCAUAGGACUCUUUUUGGACACCACACCGAAGUGCAGCUACGAUGUUAAAAGAAAAAUGUUCCUUUGACAAAUGAAAUCUUUAAAAUGGCAACAAGCAAGGAAAAAGUCAGCUCUGAGUGGAAAACAUUUAAUAUGUUUUGAUGAUUUCUUAUCUCAGACAGAAGAGAAGACAAGUUGAUUUUCUCUGCUGAAACUUUUUGAAGUGAGUUCUGACUGAAAAGAUGUGGUGGUGUUUUAACAAAAACAUAUUGUUAUAAAACAUGAUGUAUGCUCAGAAGUAUUAAUGUGUACCUCUCUGCUUCAGGUUUGAACAUUUCAGUCGAGUGAACUAGCCUGUUCCAUUUAUUUUUUAAAUUCUUAUCCAGUUGAUCUUUUUUUUUUGUUGUUCUUUAAGUUUACAGUAGUUCAAUGGCUACUUUUAUCUCUGAUUUAGGCUUUCAAACAGCACCAAACUCUGCCGUCCCAUCCUGUAAUCUGUCCAUUUAUUAUGGUGACUGGUGAACAGAGGCAACAUGUUAGUGCAAGCACUGUAAAAAUAUCUGUGGAGAAAACAUUCUUUCACUCUAAAGGAUAAGUUCCAUAAGAAUGUAUAUUCUCCAGUAUUUGCAAAAGUACGGUACGGAUUUUUCUUGUUAAAGGUGGCAAUGUCUGAAUCGCAAAUAAUUUCACGUUUAUAUGAGAGACAAUAUAUCAUUUUACAGAUCUGUAAUCAUGGAAAUCAAUGGCCAGUAUCCAUUUAAGAAAAUCGAAAUAAUUUAACUGAUUUACUUAAACAAUGCCUUGUUAGACUACGGAAUUUAAAGUCCUCUUUCAAAAUGAAGGUUGUUUUAAGUAGCGAACUUAUUAUUACAUACUACAUUCUAGUGGCACGUAAACACUUCUGAUUUAAAACAUGAAUUCCGUGUAAGUUCAAACUGAUGUCUUUGACUUUAGUUACAGAACUCAAUUUCAGGACUUUCUGCUGCUGGUGGCUGUAUAUCAGUUCUUCCAAUAGGGAUGUGCUCAGGACAAAUUAGUGAACGUAAUUUUAGCUGUAUGAGGUCAUUACAAAUACAGCCUUAGCUCUUCCUAGAGUGGACUUCAUUGUUAAUAUAAAUAUAUAUCUAUAGUUACUGACAUUUAUAUUAUUUGGCUCCUGUCCUAAGUUAUGGAUACAGUGAUGAUAAAAGCCCUUACCUAAGUGAGUCAUGCUUACUAAUUACUUCCAUGGUACUGGGUUCCUGUAAAUAAAGUUACUCAUGUAUUUAUAAGCAAGUCAAAAUUUAUACAUAUGUUUCUAAGAGUGAGUUAUCUUUCUCUCUGGGGCAAACAGCACAGUCUGCUGUUUGGAAAAGAAUGCUGAGAGUAAGGACAUCCAGGGUGCUUCCUCGCUUCUGCAAGGGUGCGUGCUCUCCUCUGCCAUUGGAUAUCCAACUAAAAUACUUAAUUUGGUCACAUUUUUUAAACUGUUUAAGACCCUUCUGCAUUACUUCAAGGUAGGAAAUGGCUGUUGAUUUUUCCUCGCUGUUUCCAAAGAGGCUGCGGUAAGAGGGUUUCAGUCUAAUUGUUUGCUCUAAAGAUGUAGCGUUCAAGACACAAAGCCUAGCAGUGUGACGUGGAAGAUAUCAAGACAAAGCAGCAGCCUCAACAUCUCUCUCUAAUGAGAACAGGAAAAGACAAUUGAGAUCCCGUAGGAAUGCAGUAUAUUUAGGAGAGAAGCAGAGCUCCUUUCACGAAUGGAGAGAGAACCCUGGUGAAUGCUGGACUACCUGCUAUCUCUGGGUGUGACUAGGUGAGUGAAGGAUUUGGAUCACAGCCUGUAACGUUUUCCAGACAUUUAGAGUGCAACUACUACAACUACUACGCCAGCAAUUUUAUGCCUUCCUUUCCCUGACUCCAACAGUAUGCGAGAUAAGCAGCCAGAUUUUCUUCUGCAUUGUGUUUUUUUAUCCAUUCAGCCAAAAUUAACAGUCUUCAAGGAUAAUGUAUGCCAAGCGAAUUUAAAUCUUGCGGACUCAAAUCGACCUAAAGUUGAUGGAUACAUUCAUGCCUACUGCUGAAAUCUACCAAUUACACAGAACUAUGCUAACUUACCAUAGAAACAUCUCAUCUAAUAGCACAGAUGAUGUUGAACUAACUAAUUACAUUAUGGCACAUAGACAAUGAAAAACAUAACGAAGAUGACAGCACAGCAACAACAGAUGCUGCACAAAAGAAAAAUUAGAAAAAUAUUGCUCUGCAAAAUGCUGUCUGUUAAGGUUUCUUCUGUUAAAAUUAAUCACAAAAAUUAGUGAAGAUUAGAUUUCAGCAGAAGAUACGAGCAUUGUAAUGCUAUUUGGAAAACGUCAUUAAACCAUUUAAAGUCCUACUCUUUCAGAAGGUAAUUCCCCCUUUUUUUUUUGUAUCACUGUCGGCUUUAAGAUGAGUAAACAGUUCAGUGCCGAUGGCAGAGUUUCUUGGGAGGAUGUCUUUCCCAGUGAGGAGAGGUCCCGAUGGCUCUUCCAGAGCCGUGUUUGGUAGCUUCCAGCCAUUAGAGCUUAGAUAAUUAGGCAACUCAGAUUUUAUUUUAGCUUGGCAUUUGCUCUGUUCUGUGCUCUUGGCUGUCAGUGACAGUUGAUUAUCUGUAGCGUGCCUUGUUACUUUAUAUAUUUUAAACUGUAACAGAUCCUAAAUACCAAAUCUGAAACUGCUGAGUAUGUUUAAAUGUAAUAUAUACAUGGGGAUUACAUCCAGAUGAUGUACUUCAUAGACCUGUGAUAAAAAAAAAUGCAUCACUUCUAGCCCACGCCGGUCCUCACCCCCUCCCCCGGUAGCUUUCCAUGAGCUCCCGGCUGCUUCAGCACCGAUCCUGAACGUAAUCCAGCUGAUGGAGAGAGACAGAAAGGGGCUUUUCCCCUAAAUAUAUAUUUCCUCUAAAAAUACCUCUGAUGCUGCUCAAGUUUCAAUACCUUACUGGCUUUAUAAGAAAGCAAAACAUAUAUUUGAUAUCCUGUUUCUCCCAGUUUAUUUUUCAGCUGGACUUUUCUUUCUCUUCAGCUGUUGUGCGGUUCCCUGGCUCCCUGCUGCUCGUCCGGCGGCGGCCGGGGUGCAGGCACGGCGGAGGCCCACAGGUGGCGGUGUAGUUCAAGCACACCUGGGCUGUGAUUGCAGAGCCGCGCUGCCGGCCGGCCUGCCGGGGAAGAUACUCUGCUUCUCCUGCCUGCAAGGAAAUACUCCCGGCUGAAGUUCCGCGCACCCGUGCCGCCGCGCCCCAGCCUUCAGCAGGGGCAGAAACGUUCUGUUGACCCUGCAACAGCGGCCGCGCACGAAGGUGCCGUUGGGUCACCCGGUGAGCGCCGAGCACGGCGAUGGCGGCGCCCCGAGCGCUGCGGCCACCUGCCCACAGCGGGGUCGCCCCUCCCGCCGCGCCCUGCUGUCCUGCGUGCAGCUGCCCGGCGGCGGGAACCAGCCCUGCCAAGUUCG
rnacentral:lncRNA from 1 species